GGGCGUAAGGGCUCGCAGGCGGUUUCUUAAGUCUGAUGUGAAAGCCCCCGGCUCAACCGGGGAGGGUCAUUGGAAACUGGGAAACUUGAGUGCAGAAGAGGAGAGUGGAAUUCCACGUGUAGCGGUGAAAUGCGUAGAGAUGUGGAGGAACACCAGUGGCGAAGGCGACUCUCUGGUCUGUAACUGACGCUGAGGAGCGAAAGCGUGGGGAGCGAACAGGAUUAGAUACCCUGGUAGUCCACGCCGUAAACGAUGAGUGCUAAGUGUUAGGGGGUUUCCGCCCCUUACUGCUGCAGCUAACGCAUUAAGCACUCCGCCUGGGGAGUACGGUCGCGAGACUGAAACUCCAAGGAAUUGACGGGGGCCCGCACAACCGGUGGAUCUUGUGGUUUAAUUCAAAGCAUCGCAAAGAACCUUACUGCGUCUUGACAUCCUCUGACAACCCUACAGAUACGGCUUUCCCGUCGGGGACAGAGUGACAAGUGGUGCAUGCUUGU
rnacentral:rRNA from 1 species